rnacentral:rRNA from 1 species
GAUGAACGCUGGCGGCGUGCCUAAUACAUGCAAGUCGAGCGAACAGACGAGGCGCUUGCUCCUCUGACGUUAGCGGCGGACGGGUGAGUAACACGUGGAUAACCUACCUAUAAGACUGGGAUAACUUCGGGAAACCGGAGCUAAUACCGGAUAAUAUAUUGAACCGCAUGGUUCAAUAGUGAAAGACGGUUUUGCUGUCACUUAUAGAUGGAUCCGCGCCGCAUUAGCUAGUUGGUAAGGUAACGGCUUACCAAGGCAACGAUGCGUAGCCGACCUGAGAGGGUGAUCGGCCACACUGGAACUGAGACACGGUCCAGACUCCUACGGGAGGCAGCAGUAGGGAAUCUGCCGCAAUGGGCGAAAGCCUGACGGAGCAACGCCGCGUGAGUGAUGAAGGUCUUCGGAUCGUAAAACUCUGUUAUUAGGGAAGAACAAAUGUGUAAGUAACUAUGCACGUCUUGACGGUACCUAAUCAGAAAGCCACGGCUAACUACGUG